UUCUAGAAGUCUCCAGCAUUAGUAGACUAUGCGCCUAUUGGAGGUUAUAGUAUUAUUGUUAGUCGUCGUCUGCAUGUUUCACAUCGGAGCGUUCGCCUGCAGCAAGAAGAAGGUGAAAAUUAGACACUGCAAGGGAUACUACAAUGUGGGGCUCUGCCAAGAAAUGUGCGUUCGCAAGUUCAAAAAUGAAAAUUAUCGAGACGGCUCUUUUUGUAAUAAAGAAGAAAUGUGCAUUUGCAAAAUCAAGGAGGAAAAGGUGGAAGAGGAAUAAUUCUGUGAGACAGAUGUUUCGGCAACUUUUUAUAAUAUCUACGCGGAGAGAAUAUAAAAUUGAAAAUUACAAUGAACAUAGUAAUCGAGGACUUUGCCGAAACAACAUUGACAUUUGAUCGUCAAAUUUGACACUCGUGUCAAAUUAAAUGUUUCUUUCUUUUUUGUUUUUUAUGUUCUGACGUGGAUACGUCCAUGGUUUCAAUAUGGGGGGUGUCAUUUCGAGAAACGAUCCUUAUGUGCAGCACCAUCUAUCGGAGUUCUAGAAAAUUUUAGACAUUUCGAGAUAAUUCGAGAAGUUUCUAAGAAAUUCGAGAAAGAAGAAAAGACC